UUACGGUCAAAUCACGCUGAAAACACCGGUUCUCGUUCGAUCACCGAAGUUAAGCAUCGUAGAGCCAGGUCCGCUUACUUAGAUGGGGACCGCUUGGGAACACCUGGUACUGUAAG